CACUUAUUGAAUGCAUAUAUGCAUAUAAAGAAAUAUAUACUAAUAUUAUAUAUAUAUAUAUUUAUAUAUAUAUAUAUAUAUUUCUAAAUAUAACCUGUUCAGAGGUGACCACUUGGUACUGGACAAACAAUUGGUGUGCUCACUCACCCUAGGGAGGACCGCCUCUCCUGCUCCCAACUUUCUUCAGUUGUCUAUAGUUCUUUGUGUAGGGCUGAGGCCUUGUGGGCUUUUCCCUGUCCACUCUGGCAUAUCUUUUGGUGCCCUUCUUGUUCAGCACAUAUUUGAGCAUUCAUGGAGGGGUGUGGUUUCUGAUAUCACUAGGAGAGACAGAAGACCUGGGUCAUUCAUUGUGAAGGUUUCAGAUUUUAAUUCCAGUGACCUGGAAAGUUACUAGGCAGCUUUGAGCACAAAGGUGAUUUGACUUCAUGUUUGAAAAUGUCCUGUUUGCUAUAAGGAGAAUCUUGUUGAGAAGAAAACAGAAGAAAGGAGAUCAAUGAGAAAGGAAUGGCAAUUAUCCUUUAAAAGGAGGAAUACAGAUGGAGUAAACUGAGGAGGUGAUGACCAGUGGUGAGAAAGAAUCUGGGUAUAAUCUGAAGGCUUUGCAAGCAACAGUUCCCAGGAGAGAGCAGCCAAGGAUCACUCGGGGUUUUUGUUUGUUUCUUAAUAUUAUUAUUUAUUGGAGGGUGGGGUGUGUGUGCCACAGUUCAUGCAUGUAGGCAAGGACAAUUUUGUAAUGUUGGUGUUCUUCCACAGGUCUGACAACAAGUGCCUUUAUAUACUAAGUCAUCUCCUUGGCUCAACCAGAGAGUUUUUGACUUGAACUUCAUGCAGGAUGUAAAACUCUCGGCUACCUCUCCAGCAGCACCAUGUCUGCCUCUAUGCUGCCAUGUCCCAUCAUGAUAAUGGACCACCUCAAUUAAAUGUUUUCCUUUGUA